rnacentral:rRNA from 1 species
UACGUAGGGACCGAGCGUUGUCCGGAAUCAUUGGGCGUAAAGAGCGUGUAGGCGGCCGUUUAAGUCCUGCGUGAAAUCUCGGGGCUCAACCCCGAGCGGUCGUGGGAAACUGGACGGCUAGAGUGCGGGAGAGGAGAGUGGAAUUCCUGGUGUAGCGGUGGAAUGCGCAGAUAUCAGGAAGAACACCCCGUGGCGAAGGCGGCUCUCUGGAACGCAACUGACGCUGAGACGCGAAAAGCGUGGGGAGCAAACAGG